UCAUUUAAAGGAGGUAAAUAUGGCCUAAAAAUGGCGACGAUCAUCCAACCUACUUAAACGUUUCCCCUUAAUGGUAUCAAGCGAGAACCAGAAAUCGCUUGUGCUUGUGAUCAACGACUGAGUUCCGAAGGACAACUAAAUACAUUGUCGAAAAGGCAUGAACUAUGAAACCGGUAUUGAUUUGCAUUACGGAAACGGAAGAAUUGGCCCACGAUAACGUUUUAAUAAAUACAUAGCCAUUCAUUAUUCAGUGAAAAUGACGGGAGAACUAUGACUCUGAAUUACCAUGUUUGUGCGCUCUCUCUUCUCCUCUCUCUCUGUGAUCACUCAAAUCAGCUCAGCAUUAGUUAGUACACGAUAGCAAGGCUUUGUUCGCGCAGGAAAACAAUAGUAUUGAACGACUCGAUCGUUGAAAACCAGUAAUACGGUGAAUGACAACACCGAGCGAUAUACGACUUGGAUGGGAUUUUUUUUUAGAGGUAAUAAUUAUCAAGCAAUUACCUCCCGCUGCCUGAAGAAAAAAACACAACAGAGAUCAGAUGUAAAGUUUUUGCAUUCCUUGAUUGUUGUGAGUAUCAUUGAAGGUAUAUCCAUUGCCCUGCAACUAUAAUACAGAAGAUCCCCUGUGUUGAAAAAAAAAAUAAAGGAAAAAAUAUUGGAUGUAGUCAAGCUUAGUGGAAAAAUACGUAUCGCAAACAAACGAGUUCGUUUGCUCGGGGAAUAAUAAUUUGAGGCAGUAUAUGGAUUGAUUUAUUGAAGGAAAAAUAUUCUCUCCCUCUCUCCCUCUGAUACCAAAGCCAGAGAAAUUAUGGAAGCAAACAGAGCAUAGAUUGUGAACUGAGAGUAAACCAAUACCGCAUCAAGAAAGCCAGAAAGAAGGAAAAGAAGGGUGUCAGCUGUCUGUCGUGAUGCGACGAGCUAAGGAUUGCUGUUGGAAUAAAAGUGCCUGAAAAGUUUUCGUCAUGGAUUAUGAAAACGAGUCCCCGCCGGAAGUGUAUCAUCAUUUGCUGUUACAUAAUCGACACAUUGUGUACGAGAUCAAACUGUCCCUGAUUUUGAUUCUAGGAACUGUAAUUAUCUUAAUUUGUGUCAUGUACAUCGUAUCUCAGUGCAAACGCAGGAGGGCGGUCGCGGGUAUCAAAAGUACCAAAAACCGUUGUAACGAUUGUGACCGGAAAGCCUUAUUACGACAUUCAUCGGAAGUGUCGCAAAUGUUGACUGACAACGAAAUCAUUGGCAAAACUAAAAUCGGCAAAGAAUUUUUCGUGUGAAACGAUUGUUCUGCCAAACAACAAUCCAGCUACUCAACGCAAUAUCCAUUCUAUCACUGCCAGAAUUAUGUAUUCAUAUUUGCAUUGUGUGUUUACUCUAAGUGAGGAAUAGAGUAUUCCCUUUGGAGAUUUCCGUAGUGUGUGGUUGUCAUUAUUUACCAAUCGUAGGAUUUAUCGACUAACAUAUAAACCCUAUGAAAAAGUAUUACAUUUUACAAGUUGUUGGUGAAUAUGCUUCAUAGGUGCAAUUAAUGGGUUUUUUUCUUAUGAAUUGAAUAAGAUUUGGUGCGGAUGUGACUGAAAUGGUGUGAUCUGAUCAAUUUUUCAUUUAAGAUUAUUAAUUUUUUUGUUUUUUUUUUUCAUUUUUUGUAUGAAACUUUUAACCUUGUAUAUAACAUUUUCAAAGUUUUAAACUUAAUGAAGUUUGAAAAUGAAGUUUGUUUUUAAUCACGAUAAUGUAUAUAUUCCUUUACUUUUAAAAGCGGCCACUCAAAUACCGUUUGUAAAUAUGUCAACUUUACUUUCAUCUGUAAUUGUAUAAAAACCUUCUUUUUAUACACCUAUAUAAACAUAUACACAAACAGAAAGUAUCGUGUUUUCCUUAACGUUCUGCAAUCUUUCUUAACCACACACACUAAUAGCAGUGAAAGGAUUCAUUUUUAUUUCAAUUACACUGGUAAUUAGUUUGCAUAAUUAGUUUCCUUGCGUUUAAUGAGAAAUCGGUAAAAACAACAGAUAAACACGGUUUUAAAUGUGACAUCUGAAAUAAGUCUUAAAACUGUGUAAUUCGACUCUCGAAGAUACGCUUAUCAAAAUGUUUUUGAUGAAUAAUUAAUUUCAACCAGAAGUUUUUUUUUUCUAUUUUGAGCUCACCUGGGCUAAAGGGGUCGUAGAAAGGCCACUUGCGAUGCUGUUUUAGUGUUCAUCAAAGAAAAUAUAUAAUUGUGAGUUCUAAUUGGGUUAUUUUCGAAUUUUAGCCCUUUGAAGCUUUUCAAAUUAAAAAAAAAUAAUGGUAAUUAUAACUACACUCAUCUGUUAACAACAGCAUUUUGAGGAAAAGCGGUUUUUUUAAAUUAUUAUUUCUGUCGAAAAAAAAUGAGUGUAACACUUUUCUCCUUAACGCAAUGCUCACUAUUGCUUUUGUGAUGUAGAAAGAUAGACUGUCCAUUAAUUAUUAUCGCCAUUCCAAAAAAAUAAACAAUAUUAAGAUACACAGUUAGUCUGUCAGUCACUUCAUCAAUCAAAGUAUACAAAAAAAAAUGCAUUCUUGAAUUAUGAAAUAUGUUUGAAUGUUACGUUUACAUGUCUUAAAAUUUCAUUUUUUUAUAUCCUUCAUAAGAAUACAUCGAAUAACAAGGAAUAUACGUUCACACACGUUUGUAGGACCAGUACUAUUCAUUGACAAUUCUUUGGUAGUUCGUAAAAAAUCAACCAAUAUUACUAACUUGUACUUUACUUUAUUCAAUUAAUUAACAAUGUGUGUUAAUGCCUGCCCCGCGGGUCCCCCCUAUGUAAGCCAUGUGCCAAAGAUCAAGCCCCGCUUGCACGCAAUGUGGUCCCUGGGUGAGUCGCUAGGGGGCAGGCAUUUAUUAUAUUACUGGCAGAAAUGUCAAUAAAUAAAGCGCCUAAUGAUCUCUCAU